GUGGAUUAGAUACCCUGGUAGUCCACGCCGUAAACGAUGGAUACUAGCUGUUGGGGGCAACUUCAGUGGCUAAGCGAAAGUGAUAAGUAUCCCACCUGGGGAGUACGUUCGCAAGAAUGAAACUCAAAGGAAUUGACGGGGGCCCGCACAAGCGGUGGAGCAUGUGGUUUAAUUCGAUGAUACGCGAGGAACCUUACCAAGGCUUAAAUGUAGAUUGACCGGUUUGGAAACAGACUUUUCGCAAGACAAUUUACAAGGUGCUGCACGGCCGUCGCCAACU
rnacentral:rRNA from 1 species